UACGUAGGGUGCGAGCGUUGUCCGGAAUUACUGGGCGUAAAGAGCUCGUAGGCGGUUCGGUAAGUCGGGUGUGAAAACUCUGGGCUCAACCCAGAGCCGCCACCCGAUACUGCUGUGACUCGAGUGCGGUAGGGGAGCGGGGAAUUCCUGGUGUAGCGGUGAAAUGCGCAGAUAUCAGGAAGAACACCCGUGGCUAAGGCGGCUCUCUAGUACGGUACUGACGCUGAGACGCGAAAGCGUGGGGAGCGAACAGG
rnacentral:rRNA from 1 species